CCUACGGGGGGCUGCAGUGGGGAAUAUUGGACAAUGGGGGCAACCCUGAUCCAGCCAUGCCGCGUGUGUGAAGAAGGCCCUCGGGUUGUAAAGCACUUUCAGUGAGGAAGAACGCCUGGUGGUUAAUACCCAUCAGGAAAGACAUCACUCACAGAAGAAGCACCGGCUAACUCCGUGCCAGCAGCCGCGGUAAUACGGAGGGUGCGAGCGUUAAUCGGAAUUACUGGGCGUAAAGCGCGCGUAGGUGGCUUGAUAAGCCGGUUGUGAAAGCCCCGGGCUCAACCUGGGAACGGCAUCCGGAACUGUCAAGCUAGAGUGCAGGAGAGGAAGGUAGAAUUCCCGGUGUAGCGGUGAAAUGCGUAGAGAUCGGGAGGAAUACCAGUGGCGAAGGCGGCCUUCUGGACUGACACUGACACUGAGGUGCGAAAGCGUGGGUAGCAAACAGGAUUAGAUACACCAGUAGUC
rnacentral:rRNA from 1 species